rnacentral:snoRNA from 2 species
AUACCAUGAUGAGGACAUCUUCUGAGUAACUCCUUAAAUCUUUCCCAUGUAUAAUAUAAGCUCUCAUCUUUUAGUUGAUGGAAAGAUGUGAUCUCGUUCCUCGAUUUU